rnacentral:rRNA from 1 species
ACUUUUUACUAUAAUUUUAUUAUAAAAUAAAUUUUUAAGUUACUUUAAUUUUUCUUAGUAUAUUUAAGAUAUGAAGAUUUUAUUCAAACUGAAAAGGUAUUUAAAUAUGUUUAAUAAGAUUUUAAAUAGUACCUUUUGUAUCAGGGUAAAUUAAAUAAAUCAACAAUUUUAAUAUUCCCGAAUAUAAAAGUUCUAUAUAAUUAAUAAUUUAUUUGUUUCAGUAAAUUUUUUAAUAUUUAUCUUGUAAUUAAACGUUAAUCGCUUUUUAUAUAUCUGGUUGUUAAGGAAAUUAAUUUAAUUAAUCAUUAUCUUUUGAUAAUUUUCAUAUUUUAUAAAUAAUGUACAGUUAUUAGGGAUAAUCUUAAUAACUUUAAAUACAAUUCAAAUUUAUUUAAUAUUUAUUAACUUUAAAAUUUUGUAUAGAGUUUAUAUCAAAUUAGUAUUAAUUUCUUAAAAUUUUAUUAAUAUUUAUUUUUCUACUUAACUGUUUAAUUUAAUUAAAGUCUUAUUUUAAUUAUUAUUUAAUUAGUAUAAUUUGAAAUUUAAAUUAAAUGAAUUCGACAAUAAUUUUUUCCAACUGUUUAACAAAAACAUUUCUUUUUGACUUAUUUGAAAGGUAAAUUCUGCCCUAUGGUUUUUCUAAAUGGCUGCAGUAUUUUGACUGUGCAAAGGUAGCAUAGUAAUUAGUUUCUUAAUUAGAAGCUGGUAUGAAUGGAUUAAUGAGAAAGGUAUUUUAUUAAUUUCAUUUUUAUAAAUUAAAAUUUAAGUGAAAAUGCUUAAUUAUUUUCUAGGGACGAUAAGACCCUAUAGAACUUUAUAUUAUAAUAUUUAAUCUAUUUUUAUUUAAAAUAUUAAAUUAAAUUAUUAAUAAUAAUUUGCUGGGGUGGUAAAUAAAUUUAAACUUUAUUUUAAAAUUUCAAUAAUUUAUGUAAAUUUUGAUCCUUAUGGAAACAAAGAUUUAGUUACCUUAGGGAUAACAGCGUAAUUUAAGUGGGGAGUUCAUAUCUAUACUUUAUUUUGCGACCUCGAUGUUGAAUUAAGGAAAGAUUGAGAAGUAGAGUUCUCAAAUCUAAGUCUGUUCGACUUUUAAACCCUUACAUGAUUUGAGUUCAAACCGGUGUAAGCCAGGUUGGUUUCUAUCUUAGAACUAGCAAAUUAUUUAGUACGAAAGGACCAAUAAUUUUUACUUAGGUAAUUAUUUUUAAAU